GUUGACGCGUUCAACUGCGCAUGCGUUGGUACGAUAACUUGGGCGUUCCAUGGACGUUCCACUUCCUACUGCUACACCAGCCAACCGUGUGCAGAGUGAACCGCGCGCGGUAGAGACUACGUCCGGAGAACCCCAAAGCUUGCUGUAAACUUCAUCCCUGAUGAAUUCCUUGUGGAUGACAUAAGGACAGUUUGUGGUCAGCGGCACCUUCUAUUUUCUACACCUGAGCAAUUAGAUGUGCUGUCCAAGGCAAAGAAAUGGUACAUAGAUGCCGCAUUUAAAAUCGUAAGGGAACCAUUUCGGCAGCUCCUGUCCAUACAUGCCUUUCUGAGGAGAGGGAGUGACACAAAGCAAGUGCCUUUAGCAUUUGUAUUAAUGUCUAGACGCCGUAAGAAAGACUACAAAAAGGUUCUCAAGAGCAUCACGCGAAAAUUACCCGUGGAACCCGCCGUUGUGAGCUGUGUUGCCGAUUUCGAAAGAGGAAUUUGGCACGCCAUGAGGAGAGUUUUCCCACAAGCCACGAUGAUGAGUUGCGCAUUCCAGUGGUGCCAGGCUGUGUGGAGGAAGGCCUGUGAUCUCGGUCUGAGAACCGCACAUCUGCGCCACGAAGGGGUUCACAGAUAUAAUAAAAAUGUGUUUGGCACUCCCCUUCCUCCCUGCUGACCAUAUCAGGGAAGCCUUUCUUUCCUUGGAAAGCCAGGCUUCUUCUUCAUUACUGAGAGGCCUUGUCAAGUACAUCAAGGCCAGCUGUGGCACCUCCAGAGUCAUGGAGUGUAUAUGACCAGACCAUCCGCACAAAUAAUAAUACUGAAGGGUGGCACAGAAAAAUAAAUGGGAAAAUUACUUAUGAAUCACCCACAGUUUACUAACUCGUAAAAUUCCUGCACGAGGAAGCCAAAUCAUUAAACCUGCAGAUGCGUUCGGUGUCUGAGAAAAAAAAAAUUGUAAAAAUUCAAAGGAAGAAAUCAAGGUGUAUACAAGGAAAAAUAUUUGCCUUAUUUAUGGGAACGUUAUGCAGCAGGACGCAUAUCAACAUCAAACUUAUUGCGCGUUCAUUCGCUAAUGUGUAUGCACCUAUUUGAAUGUCUGUGUGUGUGUGUAUGUGUGUGUGUGUGUGUGUGUGUGUGUGUGUGUGUGUGUGUGUGUGUGUGUGUGUGUGACAGCAGGAUAUGUAAAGUUGCGGACAUAUGAAAUAUAAAUUUUUCCUCCACUAGCAAUGUGAGGAGCACAGUUAUUGUAAACUAUGUCCAGACGUCGUUACGAGUUUCAUCAAUCGUAAUUCGUUUCCAUGAAACUUGUGACAAUGUCUGGACAUAAUAGUUUACAAUAAGAGUGGUCCUCACACUACUAGUGGAAGAGAAGUGUCUGUUUUAUGUGUUCGACACUAAUACUUGCGGUGCAAAAAUAAAGUAAUUUUUAUUUCGUUUUGAGUAUUGUGCAAAUAAAUUUAUUUGAUUGUAUAUUUUGCCUUUAUUUAUUUUCUAUUAAUGAAU